rnacentral:rRNA from 1 species
UACGUAGGGGGCAAGCGUUGUCCGGAAUCAUUGGGCGUAAAGAGCGUGUAGGCUGUUCGGUAAGUCUGCCGUGAAAACCUGAGGCUCAACCUCGGGCGUGCGGUGGAUACUGCCGGGCUAGAGGACGGUAGAGGCGAGUGGAAUUCCCGGUGUAGCGGUGAAAUGCGUAGAUAUCGGAAGGAACAUCAGUGGCGAAAGCGACUUCCUGGACCAAUACUGACGCUCAUGUGCGAAAGCGUGGGGAGCAAACAGG